UAAAAAGCUCGUAGUUGGAUAUUGGGCGCAGGCGGCCGGUCCGUCGCAAGGCGUGUACUGGCCGUCCUGGCCUCACCUCCGGUUCUCCGCCGGUGCCCUUGACUGAGUGUCGGCGGCGGCCGGAACGUUUACUUUGAAAAAAUUAGAGUGUUCAAAGCAGGCGAUUCGCCUGAAUAAUGGUGCAUGGAAUAAUGGAAUAGGACCUCGGUUCUAUUUUGUUGGUUUUCGGAGCGCGAGGUAAUGAUUAAGAGGGACAGACGGGGGCAUUCGUACUGUGCCGUUAGAGGUGAAAUUCUUGGAUCGGCGCAAGACGAACGACUGCGAAAGCAUUUGCCAAGAAUGUUUUCUUUAAUCAAGAGCGAAAGUCAGAGGUUCGAAGACGAUCAGAUACCGUCCUAGUUCUGACUAUAAACGAUGCCAACUAGCGAUCGGGGGGCGUUAGUUUUACGACCUCUCCGGCAGCUUGCGGGAAACCAAAGUCUUUGGGUUCCGGGGGAAGUAUGGUUGCAAAGCUGAAACUUAAAGGAAUUGACGGAAGGGCACCACCAGGAGUGGAGCCUGCGGCUUAAUUUGACUCAACACGGGAAAUCUCACCCGGCCCGGACACAGUGAGGAUUGACAGAUUGAGAGCUCUUUCUUGAUUCUGUGGGUGGUGGUGCAUGGCCGUUCUUAGUUGGUGGAGCGAUUUGUCUGGUUAAUUCCGAUAACGAACGAGACUCUGGCUUGCUAACUAGUUACGCGACCCAAUCGGUCGGCGUCUAACUUCUUAGAGGGACUAGUGGCGUUUAGCCACACGAGAUUGAGCAAUAACAGGUCUGUGAUGCCCUUAGAUGUUCGGGGCCGCACGCGCGCUACACUGACCGGAUCAGCAUGUGCUCGCCUUGGCCGACAGGUCUGGGUAACCCGCUGAACCCCGGUCGUGCUAGGGAUAGGGAAUUGCAAAUUAUUUCCC
rnacentral:rRNA from 1 species